CCUACGGGUGGCAGCAGUGAGGAAUAUUGGUCAAUGGACGCGAGUCUGAACCAGCCAUGCCGCGUGAAGGAUGACUGCCCUAUGGGUUGUAAACUUCUUUUAUAAAGGAAUAAAACGAGGCACGUGUGCCUUUCUGCAUGUAUUUUAUGAAUAAGGAUCGGCUAACUCCGUGCCAGCAGCCGCGGUAAUACGGAGGAUCCGAGCGUUAUCCGGAUUUAUUGGGUUUAAAGGGAGCGUAGACGGGUGGUUAAGUCAGUGGUGAAAGUUUGCGGCUCAACCGUAAAAUUGCCAGUGAUACUGGUAGUCUAGAGAACAGUUGAGGUAGGCGGAAUUUGUGGUGUAGCGGUGAAAUGCUUAGAUAUCACACAGAACCCCGAUUGCGAAGGCAGCUUACUAAGCUGUGACUGACAUUGAUGCACGAAAGCGUGGGUAUCAAACAGGAUUAGAUACCCUUGUAGUC
rnacentral:rRNA from 1 species